rnacentral:lncRNA from 1 species
CUGGCCACCAAUGGCAAUGGCAUUGGCCAUUGUUUUGAUUUCAACUAGUGUGGUUUCUGCUGCUGCAGAUAGUUAUAUUUACUCUUCUCCUCCACCACCUUACGAGUAUAAGUCGCCACCGCCACCAUCACCUUCACCACCACCUCCUUAUGUUUACAAAUCGCCACCUCCUCCAUCCCCAUCACCUCCACCACCUUAUGAGCACAAGGCUCCUGCUUAUGAGUACAAGUCACCACCACCACCAACUCCUUCACCACCACCUCCUUAUGUGUACAAGUCACCACCACCGCCAUCUCCUUCACCACCACCUCCUUAUGUGUACAAGUCACCACCACCACCCUCACCUUCCCCACCACCACCAUACUACUACAAGAGUCCUCCACCACCUUCUCCUUCACCUCCACCUCCUUACUACUACAAAUCUCCUCCACCACCCUCACCUUCCCCACCACCACCAUACUAUUACAAGUCUCCUCCACCACCAUCUCCCUCACCUCCACCACCAUAUUACUACAAGUCUCCCCCACCACCCUCACCCUCCCCUCCACCCCCAUAUAUACACAAGGAUCCACCAUACUAUUACAAGUCCCCACCACCACCUUCACCAUCUCCUCCACCACCAUACUACUACAAAUCUCCCCCACCCCCUUCACCGUCUCCUCCACCACCAUACUACUACAAAUCUCCUCCUCCUCCAUCUCCUAUUCCCAAAACACCUUACUACUACAAAUCUCCCCCACCCCCUUCACCAUCUCCUCCACCACCAUACUACUACAAAUCUCCCCCACCCCCUUCACCGUCUCCUCCACCACCAUACUACUAUAAAUCUCCCCCACCACCGUCACCCUCUCCACCACCACCUUACUAUUACAAGUCUCCUCCCCCACCUUCACCAUCUCCUCCACCACCAUACUACUACAAAUCUCCUCCUCCUCCAUCUCCUAUUCCCCAUACACCUUACUAUUACAAAUCUCCCCCACCACCUUCACCAUCUCCUCCACCACCAUACUACUACAAAUCUCCUCCUCCUCCAUCUCCUAUUCCCCGUACACCUUACUAUUACAAAUCUCCCCCACCACCUUCACCAUCUCCUCCACCACCAUACUACUACAAAUCCCCUCCUCAUCCAUCUCCCAUUCCCCAUACACCUUACUAUUACACAUCUCCCCCACCACCUUCACCGUCUCCUCCACCACCAUAUUACUACAAAUCUCCUCCCCCUCCGUCUCCUAUUCCCCACACACCUUACUACUACAAGUCCCCACCACCACCAAAGGUCCUUCCACCACCAUACUAUUACAAUUCUCCUCCUCCACCUGUUGUGUAUCCUCACCCAUAUCCCUACCACCACUCACUUAUUGUGAGGGUAGUCGGUAAAGUCUACAGCUUCAGAUGUUAUGAUUGGAAUUAUCCUGCAAAGUCUCAUAACAAGAAACAUCUCAAAGGUACAUUACAUUUCUUAGGACCGGACCUCUUUAGAGUAAUGUGUUUAGAGAUAAUGCACAAUUUUUUAUUUUUUUAUCUCGUAAAGGUUUAUUUAUUAUAAUCACAAUUUCACUUUUGUCAAAAAGAAAAACAAUUUUACUAUAUAUAGUUUUAAUCAUUAACAUUUUGAUGUAAAAAGAAUACAAUUCUCUAUUACCUUUUUACUAUGAUAUAUAUACAAAGAUUAUUCAAAUCUAUAUAUCCAACCUAAUUUCCAUCCAAAAAAAUAGAAAACAUAGGGUGCUUUGAACGCCUGCAGCAUCACAUGAAUAAAUAAAAACAAUCAAUAAUCAACCUUGUUCUAAUUUAUUUUAGACAGCGAUUGUUAAGCAUACUGCUCUUUUAAUUACAUUUUUUUUAAAGAUGCUCUUUUAAUUAUAUUGUCCUAAUAUAAUAUGUGUCUUUAUAUAUUACUUGUCGUAAACUAAUUUUAUUAUGGGUGCAGGAGCUGUUGUUGAGGUGACAUGCAAAGCCGGGAGCAAAAUUGUCAAGGCUUAUGGAAAAACUAAGAACAAUGGAAAGUAUGCCAUCACAGUUAAGGACUUUGACUAUGUCAAAUAUGGUUCGACAGUGUGCAAGGCUGCCCUAUAUGCUCCACCUAAGGGUUCACCCUUCAACAUACCUACAAAGCUAAAUCAAGGAACAAAGUUGUACUUGAAAUCCAAAGACAAGUACGAGGUUGUGCUCAAGGCUAAGCCAUUUGCUUAUGCUUCAAAGAAACAUUUCAAAGAAUGUGAGAAGCCUAAGCCUUCACCAACUCCUUACUACUACAAAUCACCUCCACCUCCCUCACCAGUUUACAAAUACAACUCACCACCUCCACCGGUCCAUUAUUAUUCACCUCCAUACACCUACAAGUCACCUCCUCCCCCUGUGAAAGCGGCACCAACUCCUUACUACUACAAAUCACCUCCACCACCCGCACCGGUUUACAAGUACAACUCACCCCCUCCACCGGUCCAUUAUUAUUCACCACCAUAUACCUAUAAGUCACCUCCUCCCCCUGUGAAAGCGGCACCAACUCCUUACUACUACAAAUCACCUCCACCUCCCGCACCGGUUUACAAGUACAACUCCCCACCUCCACCGGUCCAUUAUUAUUCACCUCCAUAUACCUACAAGUCACCUCCUCCCCCUGUGAAAGUGGCACCAACUCCUUACUACUACAAAUCACCUCCACCACCCGCACCGGUUUACAAGUACAACUCACCACCUCCACCGGUCCAUUAUUAUUCUCCACCAUACUACUACAAGUCACCACCCCCACCAUCUCCAUCACCUCCUCCACCAUACUAUUUCAAAUACUAUUACAAGUCCCCACCUCCACCAUCACCAUCCCCUCCUCCACCUUAUUAUUACAAAUCUCCUCCUCCACCAAAACAAAUUUCACACCCUCCAUACUACUAUAAGUCACCACCCCCACCAUCACCAUCACCUCCUCCACCAUACUAUUAUAAGUCUCCACCUCCACCAUCACCAUCUCCCCCACCACCUUAUUAUUAUAAGUCACCACCCCCACCAUCCCCGUCCCCUCCUCCACCAUACUACUACAAGUCUCCACCUCCACCUAAAGAAAUAUCACAUCCUCCAUAUAACUAUAAGUCACCACCCCCACCAUCACCAUCCCCUCCCCCUCCAUACUAUUACAAAUCUCCUCCACCACCAUCACCAUCACCACCACCUCCCUACUAUUACAAAUCACCUCCACCACCAUCACCAUCACCUCCCCCUCCAUACUAUUACAAAUCUCCUCCACCACCAUCACCAUCACCACCACCUCCUUACUAUUACAAAUCACCUCCACCACCAUCCCCAUCACCACCACCUCCAUACUACUACAAAAGUCCCCCUCCACCAUCUCCAUCUCCUCCAUCCCCAUAUUACUACAAAUCUCCACCACCACCAUCACCAUCCCCACCCCCUCCCUACUAUUACAAAUCACCUCCACCUCCCUCACCAUCACCGCCACCUCCUUACUAUUACAAAUCACCUCCACCUCCCUCACCAUCACCGCCACCUCCUUACUAUUACAAAUCUCCCCCACCUCCAUCUCCAUCUCCACCACCUCCUUACCACUAUCAAAGUCCUCCUCCACCAUCUCCCAUUUCUCAUCCUCCCUACUACUACAAAUCCCCUCCACCACCAUCGCCGUCUCCUCCACCUCCUUACCACUAUGUGAGUCCUCCCCCACCAGUAAAGUCACCUCCACCACCAACUUAUAUCUAUGCUUCACCACCACCACCUCACUACAACUAAGCUCAAAGAGCAGAAGCUCCGUUCAUUAUAAAUCAUGUAAGUUUAUCAUCUUCAAUUUUCUGAAUGUGUGCGUGUGUAUUUGUUUUUUUGUUACAAGAUACUAACAAAAUUCUUUUCUUAUUUAUGUUCAGGUUUUAGUUUUCAUCUAGGAAUAAAGGCAAGCUCCAUUUGGAGUAAAGUGAAACUUCUAGCUUCGUGUCCGAAUUCGUUAAAUAAAUGUCGGGAUGUAUCGUCUUUGAGCUAUAAUAUUUCUGAUCCAGACAAUAUCUAUUUUGUUUCUUUGGUGGCAAUCUUGCACUUCCUGGUCUUAGUCUAUUCAAGUGACAGACAAAUCAAAAGGGAGAAGCGAGAUUAAUUUAUUUGUGAUCUCUUUGAUUUAUUUGUGCAUAUAUCAAUAUGAACGUGUAUGAUAUUUUUCUAUUUAUUGAAGAUUUUUUUACUGUAACCUGUUAUUGUGUUUGUCAAAAGGUGUUAAUAAAGAAUCACAUUCAAUUUCUGUUAAAUUAUCAGUAUUUGUUUCUUUCUAACAACUACCAUUCAUGCAAAUGUGGCUAUUAAAAAAAGCUCCAAUGACACAUAAAAAGCUUCCAAACAAUAUAUAAACAAAGAUGCAUUGUUUUCUGUUAAGAAGGGGACAGGGUUACGGUUACUUGUGUACCAAGUUAGUUAUCCAUGCUUUCUUGUUCAUAGGAUUUAUAUGGUGUAGUUGCACUUAGUUGCUAAAUGUAUGCAAGCUUUUCCUUUCUAUAAAUAAGCACACCUACUAUCAUUCUUCUCCACAUUCCUUUCUACUCUUCUAUCAUGAAUUGUUCAUCCACAUAAGAUGGUCACAGAGCACACCUAAUACUCUGCUACUGGUGUAUCAGUUCCUUUCCACCAGAAACUUAUGAUCUCUAAUUGAAAGAGAUCCUAAAGUUUUAAGAUUUCUACAAAAUACAUUAUUCUCAUUUUUGUACAAGUAUGAUACAAUUAUUCCCAAGUAUUAUUUAUUCUAAGGAAUAGAAUUUAGUUGUGGUUUCUCUAUUUAACCAACAUUUAUUUUUAAAUAACUAAAUUUAAAAAAAAAAUCCUGAAAUUAUUAAGUACAUACCUAACACAUUGUAAAAUUUUGUUCCCAAAGAAAAUAUUUUUGGCAAUAGAAUUUUCAGGAACUUCAUUCCUAGGAAUAUAAUUCUAUACUAAGAGAAGAGCUUAAGCAUUGAUACAUAACAAGACCAAUCCAUAUCCUAAUCACAAUCCUACUUUCACUAAAUACUUUCACUUAAGUGUGGUCUUGGAAAGGACAAAUGAAGAAAGACAUUCCAGAGGUAUGGUAAGGGACAAUAUCUGCAGUUAUGCACAUAUUGCAAGAUUGUGAGGAACUACCGGACUGAUUUGAUUCACCAAAAAAUUUGGAAUAAAUAUUUCAGCCCAGAACUCAGACAAUGACUGGAUUGGAACCUUUCAGCUUCUAAUAUCGGUACUGUCCAAGGAAAUAGUCAUUCUCUUUUUGGAGUAGCUGUGAAGGAUUUAUGGAAAGAUAGAACUAAGCUGGUCUUUUCUAGAAACACCGCGAUUGGAACUACUCUAUUUUGGCUUGUAGCCAAUCCGGCUAAGUUUAUUAACAAUGUAGUUUGUACUCAAGCUCACAGUCACGAUGUUGUCAGCAACAGUGGGCAUAUUGUUUAGGUAGCCUGGAAUUUUCCUCCCCAACACUUCUUCAAAGUGAAUAUGAUGGAUCUCUACGGGAUUAUGUUAGUUUCCAGGAUCGAACUCAGAACCUCCUGAUUAUAACUCCUUCAAUGUAUGUCCCUUACCCACGUGGGGCCUCGGCUGUAAUUGUUAACAUGGUAAAAUUUGGCUCUUCCAAUAAUGGUUUUAUCCAAACUCGAGGUUGUUUAUCGUCUCCAACAAUCAGAUUGGAGAAUACUAGUGGUUCAUGCAUUUGAACAAACCAACUGUUGUGCAGAUUUUCUAGUUGAUUUUGUUUUUCCUUUUUUGAGUAUUUUAUUAGCCAAUGAUAUAAGAGGUUGUAGCCUACCUCUUUUGAUUUCUUAAGACAAUCACUUUUGCAUUAGAAAAAAACGACCCUACAUAAAAUUAAUGAUUGAAUUAAGAUAUAACUUCAGUUUGAAAUAUUGUAAAAUUCUAUACCACCAAAAACUGAGAAUUUUAGAACCAUACAGGUUGGUGGAGUGGUCAUCCAGAUAACUUUAACAUAAUUAACAGUCCAAAAAGUAAAUAGCUUUAUCCUUUAUUUUCAAUCUGAUGUGAUUUACUCUUAUCUGUUAAACAUUAUAAUUAAGAAUCCAAAGGGAACACUCACCUAAUCUCUCUCUUUUUUCUAGCUUUUUCACUAAACCACUGUGUCUGUGGUUACCACAUUUCCUUAUGGAAUCAAUAUCCAAUUUAUGUUAAAAACCAUUUCUACAUUUUGUGUUAAAAAUGAUCUAAACAAAGAUGAUUUAUUUCUCUUAAAUUCAACAUAGAUCAUAUUUACAUGGUUCAAACUUUCUAUUACACGGCAUUGACUUAGUUGCUUCACAUGGGGACACAACUAAUGCAUAUAUUAUUUUAUAUGCUUAUAGUAAUUUUAACAAGUGGCAAUGGGGCAUAUGUUUUGUCAAAAAAACACAAAAAACAGGAGGCAUGUGCAACUGAAGUCACUGCCAGCUUGGCACUAAGAUAUAGUAAAAUAAUUGACAUUUGAAGAAAACAAAGACGUUGCUACAUUUCUAUUCAAACAAGCGACAUCAAUAUCAGACAAUGGUGCUACAUUUAAUAAUACUACAGCUAUCCCCAUAAGCACCUCUUAGAAAGAAAAAAAAAUAUCCAUUAAAUUAAUGUUGGAAGAGUUAGCAACAUGUCCUCUCCCAAAAAAACUCAUGUUUGAUUCCUAGAGUCGUCCAUUUCGAAAGAAGCUCAACCCUGAUAAUAAAAACCUAGAUGUUAUGCUGCAGACUUAAAGAUCAAUUUCAUAAUGGAUCCAAAGGGCCUAAGCUGUGUGGGAUACUUAAGGGGGUAUAUUGAGGCUAAGGGUCAAAGAUCUUAAUUAUGGUCGGUUAAAAAAAGAAGAAAAAAAAAUUAUCUCUAAAUAUAAAGUCAACAAUAUUUCAAAUUGCAAGAUACAUUUAUUUAUUUUUUAAAUAUGUAUAUACCUCUUAUUAAUACUUACUAAUUUGUUUUGAGUGAUAAAAAGUUACGAGUUAGACAGAUCAGCACAUAAAAAAAGUAUUUGAAAAACAUCUACCAACAAAAUAAACACAUUAAAAACAAUACUACUUUUUUACAAUACUGUAUGUGAAAAUGACAAAAUCUUGAAAAAGAUGGAGGUAACAUGUACUCUUUUUUUUUUAGAGGGGAGCAUGUACUUUUCCACUAACAAUGUUGAUAAGAAACAUAUAAAAUACUAUUAGAGAAAGAAAAAAAAUAAUAAAUAAAGAAAUAUAUAAAAUACUGAGGAAUGACUCACUCAUGUCAAAUUUUAGCAAGGGAGAAGUGAUAUCACAUCAUUUUAGAAGAGGAAUGAGAAUAGAUAGAUCUAAUUUUUCUAGUAAGUUUGAAUAGUAGAAUCAUACUUCUUUGUCUUUUGUGAAAAUUUCAUAUUAUGGGAUCUAUUACUAGAAUACAGGUGAUUUUAUUCUGGAAGAUUGACUUUUUAUUAAAAUAAAAUAAAAGUACAUUUUUUAUUUCCAAAUGCUUAGUUGUUCAUUUAUAAAUAUUACAUUAUCCAACAGCACCAAACCCUAUUUCAUAACGGUACUCUGCACGUUUCAUUCAUUUACUGGUGCCUUAGUUUUUUGUUACAAACAGACAUUGAUCAGAGGAACAAAUGUAGAGACAAAUUGAAGAUAAUAUAUCACAUAAUAUUGUAGACACACCUUCACAUACAAAUGGGGUAAAGUCCCUCAUAGUAGUAUUAGAAAUAACACUUAGAGUAAAAUUUUGCUAAAUUUAACAUGAAAAUAAGUGUAAUGUAUUUUAUAGGCAGCUAUACAUAAUUAUUAAUUAGAACAAUUUUUUACACUGUCAAACAAAAAUUGAACAAUUUUUUACUAGCUUUAUGCUUUAUGAUGUUUUGAUUCCAUGUGCACAUUUCAAUUUUAGAACUAUUCCUUUCUAUGUUACUGAAAUAAUUCUAUCAUUAGGCAUUGACAUUUCCAUUAUGCGUGCACGUUAAAGUGUUUUCCCAAACAGAGAAAUAUUAAGAAAGGUUAAACUUUUGACUUAAAGACACAACUAAAAUAAGAUCCAAGGAAAACCCCAUUGAUUAUUUCUUGCACAAAAUUAAAAACCCCAUUGAUUAUUUCUUGCACAAAAUUAAAAUGCUAAUAAUUUUUCCUGGUCUAUAUUUUUCUCCUUCCGGGAAAUGGCAACAUCACAUGUUCAUCUCAUAAUUGAGAAAACACAUGUCUGGGAAAAUAUCUUAAAGAAAAGGCAGUAAAGUAAUAAAAAGUGCACCAAAUAGAGAUUAACUAGUACUCUUUGCAUGUCAACUAAGUGGUAUAAUUAUGUAUAUCACAUUCUUAAUAUUGAUUAUCUUGAUUGCACGAUAAGCCCCUCAAAUUGCUCAAUCGAUGAUUGCUUGAUAAGCCCAUCAAAUUGCCCAAUCGAUCGAAUCGUAACUUUCGAUAGACAUUUUUUUUAAGAAAACCCAAUUGGAUCAUAACUCCCCAUAGUCAUUUAUUUGAAAUUGUGAGCAAUUUGAUAACUUAUUGAGCAAUCACCAUUGAUUUUAGUCUCAAUUUAUCCUAAUGUUGUAACCCUGGAAUAAUGGAACAGUGAGUAAAUUUGGUUUCUCCGUCUCAAAAUAAGUGUCACAAUUUAACCAUGUGCACUACUCAUCAAAUCUACUUUGACAACAUUUUUUUUACUAAUAUAUAAAGACAAUGUUAGUACAUUACAUGUUCGAUUUGUCUUAGUUAAUGUUUUUAAAAUAUCGACUUUAUUAUAAUUUUUCUUAAUAGACAAUCAAAAAUAUCAAUUGUCAAAAUUGUGUAUUGAUAUGUAUGAAAAUCAAACUAUAACACUUACUUUGAGACGAAGAGAAUAACUAUUAAAAACUAAUGUUCAAAUAGAAAGAAAAGAAAACAAAGAUUCCAUACAAAGCUUGCAAAAUAGCUACAAUCAUAACCUAGAACAAAAAUCAUGACCACACACUAUAUCCAUUUUCCUUUUCCUAAAAAGCAAUUGAAGAUAAAAAAAAAAAAAAUAAUAAAUAAAAAAAAAAAAAAAAAAAAAAAAAANACCACCAUACUACUACAAAUCCCCACCUCCACCAUCGCCUUCUCCUCCACCACCAUACUACUACAAAUCCCCACCUCCACCAUCGCCUUCUCCUCCACCACCAUACUACUACAAAUCCCCACCUCCACCAUCGCCUUCUCCUCCACCACCAUACUACUACAAAUCCCCACCUCCACCAUCGCCUUCUCCUCCACCACCAUACUACUACAAAUCCCCACCUCCACCAUCGCCUUCUCCUCCACCACCAUACUACUACAAAUCCCCACCUCCACCAUCGCCUUCUCCUCCACCACCAUACUACUACAAAUCCCCACCUCCACCAUCGCCUUCUCCUCCACCACCAUACUACUACAAAUCCCCACCUCCACCAUCGCCUUCUCCUCCACCACCAUACUACUACAAAUCCCCACCUCCACCAUCGCCUUCUCCUCCACCACCAUACUACUACAAAUCCCCACCUCCACCAUCGCCUUCUCCUCCACCACCAUACUACUACAAAUCCCCACCUCCACCAUCGCCUUCUCCUCCACCACCAUACUACUACAAAUCCCCACCUCCACCAUCGCCUUCUCCUCCACCACCAUACUACUACAAAUCCCCACCUCCACCAUCGCCUUCUCCUCCACCACCAUACUACUACAAAUCCCCACCUCCACCAUCGCCUUCUCCUCCACCACCAUACUACUACAAAUCCCCACCUCCACCAUCGCCUUCUCCUCCACCACCAUACUACUACAAAUCCCCACCUCCACCAUCGCCUUCUCCUCCACCACCAUACUACUACAAAUCCCCACCUCCACCAUCGCCUUCUCCUCCACCACCAUACUACUACAAAUCCCCACCUCCACCAUCGCCUUCUCCUCCACCACCAUACUACUACAAAUCCCCACCUCCACCAUCGCCUUCUCCUCCACCACCAUACUACUACAAAUCCCCACCUCCACCAUCGCCUUCUCCUCCACCACCAUACUACUACAAAUCCCCACCUCCACCAUCGCCUUCUCCUCCACCACCAUACUACUACAAAUCCCCACCUCCACCAUCGCCUUCUCCUCCACCACCAUACUACUACAAAUCCCCACCUCCACCAUCGCCUUCUCCUCCACCACCAUACUACUACAAAUCCCCACCUCCACCAUCGCCUUCUCCUCCACCACCAUACUACUACAAAUCCCCACCUCCACCAUCGCCUUCUCCUCCACCACCAUACUACUACAAAUCCCCACCUCCACCAUCGCCUUCUCCUCCACCACCAUACUACUACAAAUCCCCACCUCCACCAUCGCCUUCUCCUCCACCACCAUACUACUACAAAUCCCCACCUCCACCAUCGCCUUCUCCUCCACCACCAUACUACUACAAAUCCCCACCUCCACCAUCGCCUUCUCCUCCCCCACCUUACUAUUACAAAUCCCCACCGCCACCUUCACCAUCUCCCCCACCACCCUACUACUAUAAAUCACCCCCACCACCUUCACCAUCUCCUCCACCACCAUACUACUACAAAUCACCCCCACCGCCAUAUGAACACAAGACUAAACCAUACUAUUACAAGUCUCCUCCACCACCAUAUGAACACAAGACUAAACCAUACUAUUACAAGUCCCCACCACCACCUUCACCAUCUCCUCCACCACCAUACUAUUACAAGUCCCCACCACCACCUUCACCGUCUCCACCCCCACCAUACUACUACAAAUCACCUCCUCCUCCAUCACCUAUUCCCCAUACACCUUACUACUACAAGUCCCCACCACCACCUAAGGUUCUUCCACCACCAUACUAUUACAACUCUCCUCCUCCACCUGUUGUGUAUCAUCACCCUCAUCCCUACCACCAUGCAUUGAUCGUGAAGGUAGUGGGUAACGUCUACAGCUUCAGAUGUUAUGACUGGGAGUAUCCUGAAAAGUCUCAUAACAAGAAACACCUCAAAGGUACAUCACAUUACAUUUCUCAAUUCUUUCAUUUUUAUAGAUUUUAUGUACAUCACUAUUGGCUCGUAGUUUCUCAAUACCAUUACAACUAAACUGCAAGUUUCAGUAAUGAGAUUCAUAUAGACAUGUUUUUAUUAACAUCUUUGUUUCUUAGAAAUUAUACAAACACUUAAUUUAGGUUUCUCCAUGUCCAAUAAAGUAAACAAUUGAUAUAUCAAAUUAACAUAUAUGAUAUAUCAUUUACCUCAUUAAAAUUUAAUAAUCCUGCCUAAUAUAAAGAUUCGGUUUGAAAAUGAUAGUUUAGUGAGCUUCUUUAUAAUAACACUCUCCAAUAUAUUAUGUUUUAAAAACAAUUAUAUUUCUAUUUGUCUAAAUUCAAAUUUGUUAUGGGACAGGUGCUGUUGUUGAAGUGACAUGCAAAGCCGGGAGCAAAAUCAUCAAGGCUUACGGUAAAACUAAGAUCAAUGGAAAGUAUGCCAUCACAGUUAAGGACUUUGACUAUGUCAAAUAUGGUUCAACAGUGUGCAAGGCUGCCCUUUAUGCUCCACCUAAGGGUUCACCCUUCAACAUACCUACAAAGCUAAACCAAGGAACAAACUUGUACUUGAAAUCCAAAGACAAGUACGAGGUUGUGCUCAAGGCUAAGCCAUUUGCUUAUGCUUCAAAGAAACAUUUCAAAGAAUGUGAGAAGUCCAAGCCUUCACCAACUCCUUACUACUACAAAUCACCUCCACCUCCCUCACCAGUUUACAAGUAUAACUCACCACCUCCACCCGUCCAUUAUUACUCACCUCCAUAUUACUACAAGUCACCUCCUCCCCCCGUGAAAGCGGCACCAACUCCUUACUACUACAAAUCACCUCCACCUCCCGCACCAGUUUACAAGUACAACUCCCCACCUCCGCCAGUCCAUUACUAUUCACCUCCAUACACCUAUAAGUCACCUCCUCCUCCUGUGAAAGCAGCACCAACUCCUUACUACUACAAAUCACCUCCACCUCCCGCACCGGUUUACAAGUACAACUCACCACCUCCACCGGUCCAUUAUUAUUCUCCACCAUACUACUACAAGUCACCACCCCCACCAUCUCCAUCACCUCCUCCACCAUACUAUUUCAAAUACUAUUACAAGUCCCCACCUCCACCAUCACCAUCCCCUCCUCCACCUUAUUAUUACAAAUCUCCUCCUCCACCAAAACAAAUUUCACACCCUCCAUACUACUAUAAGUCACCACCCCCACCAUCACCAUCACCUCCUCCACCAUACUAUUAUAAGUCUCCACCUCCACCAUCACCAUCUCCCCCACCACCUUAUUAUUAUAAGUCACCACCCCCACCAUCCCCGUCCCCUCCUCCACCAUACUACUACAAGUCUCCACCUCCACCUAAAGAAAUAUCACAUCCUCCAUAUAACUAUAAGUCACCACCCCCACCAUCACCAUCCCCUCCCCCUCCAUACUAUUACAAAUCUCCUCCACCACCAUCACCAUCACCACCACCUCCCUACUAUUACAAAUCACCUCCACCACCAUCACCAUCACCUCCCCCUCCAUACUAUUACAAAUCUCCUCCACCACCAUCACCAUCACCACCACCUCCUUACUAUUACAAAUCACCUCCACCACCAUCCCCAUCACCACCACCUCCAUACUACUACAAAAGUCCCCCUCCACCAUCUCCAUCUCCUCCAUCCCCAUAUUACUACAAAUCUCCACCACCACCAUCACCAUCCCCACCCCCUCCCUACUAUUACAAAUCACCUCCACCUCCCUCACCAUCACCGCCACCUCCUUACUAUUACAAAUCUCCCCCACCUCCAUCUCCAUCUCCACCACCUCCUUAUCACUAUCAAAGUCCUCCUCCCCCAUCUCCCAUUUCUCAUCCUCCCAACUACUACAAAUCCCCUCCACCACCAUCGCCAUCUCCUCCACCUCCAUACCAUUACGUGAGUCCUCCCCCACCAGUAAAGUCACCUCCACCACCAGCUUACAUCUAUGCUUCUCCACCACCACCAAUCUACAACUAGCCUCACAACACCAAAUCACCAUUGGUGAUAAAUUAUGUAAGUUUACCAUUAUUGCAAUCAUAACACUUGCAUCUUUUCCCACCCAUACACACACAUAUCACAUGUUUAAAUUUUAUGUACUAAUCAACAAAAACUCUUAUUUGUUUUCAGGUUCUAGUUUUCAUCAAGGAAUAAAGUCGUCCAUUUGGAGCAAAGUGAAACAACUAGCUCUCUGUCCAAAUUAUUUGAUGGCCAUCUUGCACUUCCUAAUCUUAUUGUGUUCAAGUGACUGGCUAAUCAAAAUGUGGAAGCGAGAUUAAUUUAUUUAUUAUCUCUUUGAUUUAUAUGUGCAUAGAUUGAUAUUUCCCUGUAUGAUAACUUUAUUUUUAUUGAGGAUUUUUUGUAUUGUACCCUGUUGUGUUUGUUAAAAUAAGUAUUAUCAAUGAAGAAUUACCUUCAAUUUCUUUCCACCUAAUUAGUUCUUGUUUCUUUUAAACAACUAUCAAGCAUGUCAGCAAGGCAAAGCAUACCACUACCACCAUAUCACCAUAAAAUGCAUCAUUAUUCAUUGCAUAUGAGAUAAAUAUAUGCAAACUAUAUCUAAUUAUUAAGAGGGGGAAAAAACUAAUGUACAGAAAAUGUACCUCAAGGCUUCAGGAUAGGUGUUAGAAACCCAAGCUUUUAAUAGCUCUCUCCAAGAAUCCUCGUUUCUACAACUUAAGUUCCUAUAUUAAUCAAUUAUAAUAUAUGAGAAACUUAUGUUGUCGACCAACAAUACAGGUGACUCAAAAAAAUAUUAUAUUUUAAAAGUCAAACCUUGAGCUAUACACAUGUAAGCAUCAUCAAUAUAAGUUUCACCAUUGUUCAUGUGUAUUAUUCCAUAAAUUUUGGCUCAGUUGAGGUUACUACACUGGUUUUCUUCCUAUUGUAUCAUAUAUUUAAAUACUAUGGUGCGUUUGGAUAAACAGCUUAUGUCACAAGCACUUAUCAUGAUAAGCGCUUUUGUAUAAACUUGCAUGAGUUAUUUUCAUAUCAAAAGAUAAACAAGAACAUUAAAUUGUUUUUGUAUAUUACUUAAGUUGUUUUCAUAAGCUAUGUUGAAGAACUAAUGAAAAUUAGCUGAAAAAAGCUUAUGCUGUUUUCAUGAAUUCUCCCUAACAGUCUCACAAUAUUUAUGUCAGUAUAUAAUCAAAUAAGUCAAUCCAAACAGGCCCCACGUCUUCUAUAUUAGACCAUAUGACAAUUUCUUUUCGGUUUAUUCUCAUUAAAAGUUAAAAAUGGUGUAUUUGAAUCCUAUAAUUCUUUGUCAUACAAGUGCAUUCAAAUACAAUUUGAAGCCAUGGUGAAAGUGUUUAAUUUGCAGAGCUCACCAACAUAAUCUAACGUAUAUUUGGAUUGACUUAUUUGAACUUAUCUACUAGCACAAAUACUUGUGAGAUUGUUUACGAAAGUUUAUGGAAAAAACUUACAACACACACAUAAGUUGUUUUCAGCUUAUUUCCAUAAACUCUUCAAAAUAGCUUAUGAAACAACUUAUAUGAUAAGAGCUUAUUCUAUAAGCGCUUAAUUAAGUUUUAAUCCAUUCUUCUUCUACCUUCAUCUUCAGUUAACAAAACGAAUACAAUUUCUGAAAAUUCAAAGUUCAAACACCAAAAAAUACCUAAAAUGAAAAAUUGUUGAAUGAAAGCGCAAAUAGAACCUGGCAAUGCGUUCGAGAAGCACGUGGAGGAGGUGGCGUGGCAGAAGAAUGUGUGGAUUUCAUCGGAGAAUUUCAGUUCUGCUCGCGCCAUUUAAGAAAUUUUGUAAACUUAAAGUUUAGUUUAAGUUUACCCCUCUUUUUUUUUCAUUUUAAAGGAGUUUACCCUACAAAUUUUUGUAUGUUUUUGCCACGUUUACAAAUGAUUUAAUAUGUUUUUAUCCUAUAUAUAUUUAGGGAUGUAAAUGGAUAUUAUGAUGCGGAUAGUGUAAUAUUUGUGUCUGUUCCAUUGGAUAAAUAUGAAAUCUGUACCAUAUUCAUAUCGUACGGAUAUCUGUUUAGCGGGUAAUCCACAGAUUUUGAGAUAUUUGAGUGUUUAUAGAUAUAUUCAUUGAUAACAUUUAUAAAAAUAAAAUAAAAAAUUUGUUUAAUUCUUUUUAGAGACAAAGGUUCUUCAUAUGCAUUUUCUUUUCUUUUUAACAAAACAUAAUAUUCAUACAUUAUAAUAACAACAAAGAUCAUUGACUCAACAAAAACAUAAAUAAAGUUGCUUACAUUUAAUAAAAAUAAAGUUAUUUGAUUUAACAAAAACAAAGCUCUUGCAUCAACAAUCCCAACCACUUUCACUUCCUUUUAAAAGAGUGUAAUAACAAAUAACACUCACAAUACAUAAGGUUUUUUUUUAGGAAGUUGAAUGAUAUUAAGGUUAUUUAUGUAAUUUACUCGGUUUAAUAGUCGGUAUGGAUAUCCACGGGUGUGGAUACCGUUAAAUCCGCAUCCAUAUCCAUUAAUUAGCAGGUAGUUAAAAAAUUCAUUUAUUUUAUCCAUUGAUAUCCAUUAAGGUAUCCGCUCCGUGCCCGUGACGGAUUAUAUCCGCGGAUAUUCACGGGUGCGAAUUUUUUUGUCAUCCCUAUAUAUAUAUAUUAGUCUUAAACUUGACUAUUUUUUAUUAUCAUUUGGUGCUAUAAUUAAAAAAAAAAAAAAAAUAUUGUUCGUCUGAGCCAUUUAGCUACAGGCUAUUACUUUUCUCAUUCUACAUGUUUCUCGCUUGUCCUAUUUUUUUUUUAAUACUUUUUGCUCGAAUUCUAAAAUCUAAACUCCUAUAGGGAUUUUUGGAUUCUAUAAUCCAAAACACGUUGAAACCCAAAAAUAAAAUAAAAAACUAUGUAAUUGAAAUCAAAGAUCUCUACUGCUAAUGCACGUUUUCCACAAAAACUACAAAGUAAUUUCAAAGUAAUUUCACAAAAACUAUCGUAUGAAUAGACAGCAAUGAGCAUGAUAUCAUAAAUAACUCAAAACUUUAUAAAAAUAAAAAUAAAAAAAUGAAUAAGAAGAUGUGAAGAAUGAAUGUAAACGUUGGAGGAUACAAAGCUAUUUAUAGACAUAAAAUGUUCCUAGACUCUAAAGUGGGUCAAAGAAAACAUGAAUAACAUUUACAACUUAAUUAACACAUCACAGAUCAUUCAAACCUUUGGUGUAACAUCAUCGUAUGUAGUCUGGCACAGUUUGGAUUAUACAAUCUGAACAUUUCAUAAGCAGUUUGGAUUAUAUAAUUUGAACUAUCCCAGACUGUGUUUCAGCUUGAUGUUUGGAGGGUUUUGUAUGGUGGAUAACACAAAAAAAUGACAUAAUUCAACAACGUAAAAAAUAUAAUAAGAUAAGUGAUGAUGAAAGGGAAGCCGCACCAAGAGGUGUUUUUGAAUUCGAUCCAGUUGUCCUAUCAACUGACAUAUAUUUCUAUUGGCAUGGCAGCAAGAUCAAGUUUCAAAACGACCUUUUUGUGUUCAUAUCCGCAAAAUAAUGAUGAAAGGCAAGGUAUUCCAAGAAGUGUUUUUUAACUUGAUCUCGCUACCUUGUCAACUAACAUAUUUCUAUAGACAGUGCAGCAAGAUCAAAUUUAUAACAACCUCUAGGUGUUCAUAUCCGCUAAGUAAUUUUUCGUAGUUCUUUAUUGUGAUCUACAAAAAAAAAAAAAAAAAAGAUCUAUUUAUAUAAGUUUAUGUGCGUCGCGAACCAGAUAAAUUUUCGAUGCAUUGUGGACCAAAAAAAAAUUCUAAUUCGGACUAAACAAGAUGAAUUUUCCUUCACCCUAGAAAGUAAAAGUUUUGACAAACACAAGACUGAUUAUACAUUAAAUACAACAAUCAGCCAAACUAAACAUAUUAGAUCACAAAUCUUUCAAACUAACUUCUUCAUUGGAUUCCUCCAAGAGAGCCUUGAUUUAUUUGUAUGUUCUAGGCCGAAUCAAUUUUUUUUAAUAUCUUUGAAAGGGCCCGACCAAGAAAACAUCCAACUCAAUUGGUCAUUUAAUACCGUACUGACCAAAUAUUAAAACAUUAUUCUCUUAUCGCAUUGUUCCUGAGUUUAAUCUAGGUAAACUAGAUGCUUUCAUCUUAGCCAAUCGAUGGACUUUGAUGCUCAACAUUGUCCAUCCUUCUUGUGUCUGUGUUGUUGAGUCGACGGUUGAUUUAGUCCAGCUAAUAUUGGACUUUCCCCCAUUGUAGUAAACUACAGUUAGUUUGGUGUCAGAUCAAUGAUUGAAGUGUUCAUGAUUAUUUGGUGUGGUUUAUAGCAAAUGAAAACAAGCACACCAAUUUAUAGAAGUUUAUGUGCGCCGCGGACUACAAUAACUAUUGGUGCAAUGAAGACCAUAGAAAAAGCAUGUACUUGGCUGAUUUGGAUUAUAUAAUUUACAUUGUCCCUCACCCUACAAAGUACAAAUUUCAACACAAUAUUGAACCAAUUCGGAUUAUAGAAUCCAAUCAUUUAUGAGAUAAUUUCGGAUUAUAUAAUUAAAACUAGUUCACAAUGUGAACCGCAGCUUGGUCAGCAAGACUAACUCAUUAAAAAUGUUUUUUAAGUUGGUGAACGACGCUUGACUGGUCAGCAAGACUUGAAAACAAUUUUCGUACCAUGCAUUAAUGGACCAUUACCCUCUAUGAAAUGUACUUCACAAAUUCUCCUUCCGAAUACCCACUAAUACAUCACAAAUUCUUAUUUCAUCUCACAUUCUCUCGUUCUUUUUACUUCUACAAUGUGCUUCCAUAGUUUGUGUUUCAUACAAAAAUGUUACUCUAAUAUUUUAUGGAUUGUAUGAAUGGUCAAAAGGCAAAAAUUGGCACCAUCUGUUUGGAUGUAAGGUUGAUCAUCAAAGUCUAAUCCACUAAGAGAGGAAACAAACCUUACCCCAACCUCAUUCCCCAUUCAUCUUCUUGCACCGCAUGUUUAAAUGAUACUCCCUCCGGUCCUAUUUAUAAGAGAAAGUUAGGUCAACAAAAGUUGAUGUAUCUGAACUGAAUUUUUAACCGGAUACAUCAACUUUUGUUGACCCAAAUUUCUCUUAUAAAUAGGACCGGAGGGAGUAUUUGUACAACCAUUUUGGUACAACUUUUGUACAACUUUCUCUCUCAUACUCACAUUAUGUUUUUAUUCUCUCUCUUACUUUUUUUCUCUCCAUUGUGGUUGACCAAUAAGAAGGGAGAAUAUCAAGGUUGUCACAAAAAUUGUAACAAAAGAGUUGUUCAAAUAUCAUUACUCUUAUCAUUAUGUGUUAAAUAAUUUUGUGUAAUAAGCUUCAAUGACAAUGUAAAUAUACAAUAAAAGAUAUAAAUUAUUCAUAAAAUGAAAAUUUUAUUCAUUUAUCUUUUUAUAUUUUUGUCUCUUUUAGUUUCAGUCAUUUUCAAUUAUGCAUUCUUAAUAUUAUGUCAAUGUUGAUCAAUAAUUAUUGGCAAAAGAAGUUUUCAUGUUAUAGAAUAUGAAAAUCCCUGGUACCAAAAAAAAAAAAAAUCUGAAAAUCCCUCUAUAGGAUUUCAGAUUUUAGAAUCCGACCAAAUGGUAUUUUGAAGAGAGAAAAAUAGUGUGUCUAAGUAACUCAUGUUGAGAAAAGUAAUAGCCUUAAUUAUGUCUCCGAUAAACAUUUUAUUCCCUUCCGUUAAUCAGUUAAUCCCAAAUGUCUAAGGUGAACCAAUAUUAUAGGUGGUCUACCAUAAACCUCAUAACAAUUUUAAGGUCAAAUACCACUUUUGGUCAUUUUAGUUUGACAGAAUUCUCAAGUUAGUCAUUUAAGUUUCGAAAGUUUCAAUUAGGUCCUUUUAGUUUGACAGAAUUCCCAAGUUAAUCCUUUAAGUCAUAAAAUUCAGGGGAGCAAAGUAGAUACUCCAGUUUUCAGAGGCGGAGACAUAGUCAUGUCAAAAGCAUCCCACAUCCUAUUACCACCUACUUGAACUCAUCAAGCUUGGUAUGGACCAUUCACAGUAACAUGUGUAUGUAGUCUCGUGGAGAUCUGGGACAAUAUCAAAUGGCAUGCUAAGGUGAAUCGACACAAACUGAAGCAUGUUAAAGAUUGCAUCCGGAAAAUGAAAGUUGAAGAAGAUGAACCUGCUUUGAAGAGGUUCAAGGGCACAACAUAGACUUAUUCUCCAUGUUCAAGAUGUAAAACACGCAUUGAACGAGAGACAACCCAUUAAUUUAUUUUCUCCGUUAUUUGUCUUGUGUCAUUUUUGCUCGAAUUUUUUGCCGUCAAUUCUUUAUGAAUUAUCAGUCAUAUUAUAUUACACACUAGACAAUUUUUUUGGUACCUUGAGCCUUUUCAAUCCGCCCUUAUCAUCAUUAUAUCCUUUGCUAAAUCCCUUUGAGCUUCCAUGCAUUAUUUCUUUUGUUUUUUUUAUUAAGUAACAAAUCAUGUCACAAGUUUGAACUUUUAAUGCCAUCUAUUUGAUUUCUUUUAUAGUUAGAUAGAAUAUUUUUAAGAACUUGGUAUGAUUUGAAUAUAUGUUAGGGUUAUAAGGGAGAAAUGUAAUGGCAAAGAGGAAGAGCAAGAAAAGAGAUGAAAGAUGAAGGGACAUUAGGCAGACUCAAUCACGGUAGUUAGAAUGAUUGCCUUCUGUUUUGCAGUAAUUUGCAUGAGCUUCACUUUUCAAGUAGAGUAAAAAAAACAGGAAUAGAUAGACACAUUUCUUCUAAGUUUGAGUAGUGAGUGAUAACACUUCUAUGUAAUCCCUAAAAAAAAACACUUCUAUGUAAAAAAAUCACAUGGGAAAUCCAUUCCUAUAGUACACGUAAUUUUGAUCUGGAAGGUUGACUUUUCAACAAAAUAACCUAAAAUAAUUUGUUCAUAACAUAAUAGAGGAAUCUAGAAGUGUUCGCGGUGCGGUUUGAUUCGGUUUUGAGCAAAAAAGUCAUCCAAACCGCGCGAUAAAAAAACAUGUGGUUUGGUUCGGUUGAUUUUUAAAAAAUCAUCCAAACCAAACCAAACUAAACCAAUACGGUUUGGAUUGGUUCGGUUUGUGCGGUUUAUCGCGAGAUAAAAAAAAAAUAUUACAUUAACUCUAAUAUUUCCAAAUUGUUACAAAAUAAACAUAGAACGUUUUUUUAUUUAUUUUUAUAUGAUAAAAUAUUAGGUAAAACUCAUAUCAAAAUAGGUAAAAUUAAGAAGAAUUUAUAAGCAUGAAACAAAUUAUUGGAAAGUAAAGGAAACAAAUUUAAGUAAUAUUCAUUAUUCUUGCAGCUAUGUAAUUGGGCUAGAAACAUUUUAUUUUGAUGUUUAUAUCGAACAUGAUGGUGCAACAAUGGAAAAAUCAAAUCAAAAAAGAUUAUUCUUGAGCUAUGUAAUUGAGCUAGUACAUAUUUAAGUAAUAUUCAUUAUUCUUGCGGUUUGGUUUGGUUUGAUUCGGUUGCUGAGAUGCAAACCGCAAAUCAAACCAAACUGUAUGUUUUAGUGCAAAAGUCAUCUGAAUUCAUCCGAAAUCAAGUACGAUUUUUUACGAUUUUGAAUUGGUUUAAUUUGCCGUUUUUCUAUUGGAUUGGUUCGGUUUGAACGAUCUGCAUGAAUUCUUCUAGUUGAUUGUUGGACUAUUUUUAAUUGGCAAAGGCUUAGUUGUCCAUUUAUAAAUAUAAAUACUAUUAUUACAUUAUCCAAUCCAAUAGCACCAAAACCAAUAUAAUAAUGGUAAUUUGCAAUUUUGCACGUUUCAUUCAUUUAUUGGUGCCUUAAUUUUGGGUUACAGACCGACAUUGAUCAGUUGCUAAAAAACCACUGCAUCCUUAUUUUUUACGAGGUAGAUGCAUCGGACAAAUAAACCGACAAACAAAGCUAUUCAGAAAGUGCUCAGAAAUUUUUUGUGCCCCAACAGAAAAUAUUAAGAAAGUCUUGCUACACAGUGUCUUGUAUACAAGUGAAAUAUGUGUGGUAUUAUGCACAAGUUUAUUUUUACAAGUUGAUAUAAGAAUCUAAGUAUAUUUUUAUGGAAAAUUAAUGCUAACAAAUACUUUCAAAGCAUUGUUUAAGCAAUCAAUAUUAGUAACUUUUGCAUAGAAAUAUGUGUGAUUAUUAUUUUUUCAUAUGUUUUAUAUGUUUUCAAGAAAAUAUUUUUAUUUAUGGUUUUUUUAAAUAGUGUCCUUAGGUACUUGUUAGCAAAAUCUUAUUUAUAUAAGUUGAUCUAAGAAUCUCAUUAUUGUAUCGAGUGAGAUACGGCCAUACCGAAGCUUAUGGAUUCCAUAGUGGAAAAAUAACUUUUCAUCAGUGCAAUACUAUUUUAGUUGUAGAAUUUCUUUUCUUGUGUGUCCUAUUUCAGAUUUUAAAAUCCAAACAAUCGAAGGUUUAUGAAGGUUUUUCGAACAUUUUCGCACUGUUUGAAUUAUAUGAUCUGAAAUGUCAUAGAACAUGCGAGAAGCAAGUUGAAUGAAAUAAAAAACUCCUGCUCAAUAGAAUUAUUUUACUUGGUUAUUGUUUGAAUUUUAUUCUCCUUCAAAGACGGCAAUGUGCAAUUGUGCAUUUCAUCCGGAGAGUGGCAACAUCUCAUGCAUGUUCAUCUCAUAUAACUGAGAAGUCACAUGGCUUGGAAAAUCUUAAACCGAGAAAAACAAAAGGAGUAAAAGUAAUAAUAGUGAACCAAAGUGAAGAUGAACUUGUAGUCUAUCAAAAGAAGAUGAACUUGUUCGUCUUGGCAUAGUAACUCAUUUUUAUUCCUUGUUACCUAUGAAACACGGACAAUAGAUACAACACGGACACCAAUACGUUAAUACCGUUAAUAAUAUAAAAAAAUAGGUACAUUGAAUAAUUAAUGUAUUUGACCUAUAAAUGUGACCAGAUAUAUUAAUUAUUCAAUGUAUCUAAAAAGUUGGUUUUUGUUUAUAAAUAUGAUCAUAUGGAGUACUACUUUAGUGUAAUUUUAUGUAUUGGUACUGCGAGACAUCUAAUCUAAAGAGUGUCAAUGUUUUCACACAUAUUACUCACCAAAGUGCACACAUUAUAUGCAUUUAGGUAAACUGAGUUCAUCCAAAAUUGUAACCGCACAAACAGAGGGCCGCUAGGAAAUAUGAGGUAAAUUUGGAUUAUUCUUUAUCAAAAGCUUAUGACCAAAGAAAAACUAUACAAAAACUAAUGUUCAAAAAGUACAUAAAGUAAUAAUGCAAAGUCAAUGUGUAUAUAUAUUUCACCAUUAAAUAAAAGGGGAAAAAAAUCUCCAUACACAGCUUGCAAUAGCUACCAUCAUGGCCUAAAGCAAAUAUCAUAUGACCACUAAAAAACAAUAGAAAAUAAACAAAUAAAAAGAGAAAAACAAAAGAGAAAAUGGUAUAAAGAAAUCAUGUAGUAGUUAGUUUUUUCUCAAGAUGGGCAACUCAGCAGGGCUGCUAGGAGGAAAUUACAAAAGAACAUGACACUUAACUUCUCUAAUCAUUCAAAAUUUGUCAAGAUGCUGAUUAUAUAUUUUAAUUAGUAGUUAGAGAUUGUUAUAGUAACGUGUUCUAGCCAUCAAGAAUAAAACAAUGUCAUGGAAAAGAAGUGGCCUACUAGAAGAAUUAAUUUAAAGCAUUUACACCAAAAUAAAAACAAAUUGAAUAUUGGAAUUGGUCCUUCAUGAUAGCUUCCCCUUAACAACUAACUCUAACUAUAAAUACUGAAUCUUGCAUGCAACAUUUCAUAGUAAACACUAAGACCAAAACCUCUUCUUUCUAUCCAUGACUGCUAGGGCUAGUUGCCCCAAAAUGGGGCAUUUUUGGCCACAAAUGGCAAUGGCAUUGGCCAUUGUUUUGAUUUCUACUACUAUGGUUUCUGCUUCUGAUAGCUACAUUUACUCUUCGCCUCCACCACCUUAUGAGUACAAGUCCCCACCACCGCCGUCUCCCUCACCACCUCCUCCUUAUGUGUAUAAGUCACCACCUCCCCCAUCCUCGUCACCCCCACCACCAUAUGAGCACAAGGCUCCAUCUUAUGAGUACAAGUCACCACCACCACCAACUUCUUCACCACCACCUCCUUAUGUAUACAAGUCACCACCACCACCAUCUCCUUCACCGUCACCUCCUUAUGUGUACAAGUCACCACCACCUCCAUCCCCAUCACCCCCACCUCCUUACGUGUACAAGUCACCACCACCACCCUCGCCUUCCCCGCCCCCACCAUACUAUUACAAGUCUCCUCCACCACCCUCGCCUUCCCCACCGCCACCAUACUAUUACAAGAGUCCUCCACCACCCUCUCCUUCACCUCCACCUCCUUACUACUAUAAAUCGCCUCCACCACCCUCACCUUCCCCUCCCCCACCAUACUAUUACAAGUCUCCUCCACCACCAUCUCCCUCACCACCUCCUCCAUAUUACUACAAGUCUCCCACACCACCUUCACCCUCCUCUCCACCCCCAUAUAUACACAAGGAUCCACCAUACUAUUACAAGUCCCCACCACCCCCUUCACCAUCUCCUCCACCACCAUACUACUAUAAAUCUCCCCCACCACCCUCACCCUCUCCACCCCCACCUUACUAUUACAAGUCUCCUCCACCACCUUCACCAUCUCCUCCACCACCAUACUAUUACAAAUCUCCUCCUCCUCCAUCUCCUAUUCCCCAUACACCUUACUAUUACAAAUCUCCCCCACCACCUUCACCAUCUCCUCCACCACCAUACUAUUACAAAUCUCCUCCUCCUCCAUCUCCUAUUCCCCGUACACCUUACUAUUACAAAUCUCCCCCACCACCUUCACCAUCUCCUCCACCACCAUACUACUACAAAUCCCCUCCUCAUCCAUCUCCCAUUCCCCAUACACCUUACUAUUACACAUCUCCCCCACCACCUUCACCGUCUCCUCCACCACCAUAUUACUACAAAUCUCCUCCCCCUCCGUCUCCUAUUCCCCACACACCUUACUACUACAAGUCCCCACCACCACCAAAGGUCCUUCCACCACCAUACUAUUACAAUUCUCCUCCUCCACCUGUUGUGUAUCCUCACCCAUAUCCCUACCACCACUCACUUAUUGUGAGGGUAGUCGGUAAAGUCUACAGCUUCAGAUGUUAUGAUUGGAAUUAUCCUGCAAAGUCUCAUAACAAG